rnacentral:rRNA from 1 species
AGCGAACGCUGGCGGCAAGCUUAACACAUGCAAGUCGAACGAUGUAGCAAUACAUAGUGGCGGACGGGUGCAUAACACGUGGGAAUCUGCCUUUAGGUACGGAAUAACUCAGGGAAACUUGAGCUAAUACCGUAUAAAAUCUCCGGAUCAAAGAUUUAUCGACUAAAGAUGAGCCCGCGUCAGAUUAGCUAGUUGGUGGGGUAACGGCUUACCAAGGCGACGAUCUGUAGCUGGUCUUAGAGGAUGAUCAGCCACACUGGGACUGGGACACGGCACAGACUCCUGCGGGAGGCAGCAGUGGGGAAUAUUGGACAAUGGGGGAAACCCUGAUCCAGCUAUGCCGCGUGAGUAAUGAAGGCCUUAGGGUUGUAAAGCUCUUUUAGAUGGGAAGAUAAUGACGGUACCAUCAGAAAAAGCCCCGGCUAACUUCGUGCCAGCAGCCGCCGCGG